rnacentral:rRNA from 1 species
CACGUAGGGGCCAAGCGUUGUCCGGAUUUAUUGGGCGUAAAGAGCUCGUAGGCGGUUGGGUAAGUCGGGUGUGAAAACUCCAGGCUCAACUUGGAGACGCCACCCGAUACUGCUCUGACUUGAGUUCGGUAGGGGAGUGGGGAAUUCCUGGUGUAGCGGUGAGAUGCGCAGAUAUCAGGAGGAACACCGGUGGCGAAGGCGGCUUGCUGGGCCAGUUCUGACGCUGAGGAGCGAAAGCGUGGGGAGCGAACAGG